UGACCUCAAAUCAGGUAGGACUACCCGCUGAACUUAAGCAUAUCAAUAAGCGGAGGAAAAGAAACUAACAAGGAUUCCCCUAGUAACUGCGAGUGAAGCGGGAAAAGCUCAAAUUUAAAAUCUGGUAGUCUCUGGCUGCCCGAGUUGUAAUCUAGAGAAGUGUUAUCCGCGUUGGACCGUGUAUAAGUCUCCUGGAAUGGAGCGUCAUAGAGGGUGAGAAUCCCGUCUUUGACACGGACUACCAGGGCUUUGUGAUGCGCUCUCAAAGAGUCGAGUUGUUUGGGAAUGCAGCUCUAAAUGGGUGGUAAAUUCCAUCUAAAGCUAAAUAUUGGCGAGAGACCGAUAGCGAACAAGUACCGUGAGGGAAAGAUGAAAAGAACUUUGGAAAGAGAGUUAAACAGUACGUGAAAUUGUUGAAAGGGAAACGCUUGAAGUCAGUCGCGUUGGCUUGGAAUCAGCCUUGCUUUUGCUUGGUGUACUUCCUUGUCGACGGGUCAGCAUCAAUUUUGACCGGUGGAAAAAGGCUAGUGGAAUGUGGCAUCUUCGGAUGUGUUAUAGCUGCUAGUUGUAUACAUCGGUUGGGAUUGAGGAACUCAGCACGCCGAAAGGUCGGGGUUCGCCCACGUUCGUGCUUAGGAUGCUGGCAUAAUGGCUUUAAUCGACCCGUCUUGAAACACGGACCAAGGAGUCUAACAUGCCUGCGAGUGUUUGGGUGGAAAACCCGAGCGCGUAAUGAAAGUGAAAGUUGAGAUCCCUGUCGUGGGGAGCAUCGACGCCCGGACCAGACCUUCUGUGACGGAUCCGCGGUAGAGCAUGUAUGUUGGGACCCGAAAGAUGGUGAACUAUGCCUGAAUAGGGUGAAGCCAGAGGAAACUCUGGUGGAGGCUCGUAGCGAUUCUGACGUGCAAAUCGAUCGUCAAAUUUGGGUAUAGGGGCGAAAGACUAAUCGAACCAU
rnacentral:rRNA from 1 species